rnacentral:rRNA from 1 species
GACCAAGUCGAGCGGUAGGAGAGAAGCUUGCUUCUCUUGAGAGCGGCGGACGGGUGAGUAAUGCCUAGGAAUCUGCCUGGUAGUGGGGGAUAACGUUCGGAAACGGACGCUAAUACCGCAUACGUCCUACGGGAGAAAGCAGGGGACCUUCGGGCCUUGCGCUAUCAGAUGAGCCUAGGUCGGAUUAGCUAGUUGGUGAGGUAAUGGCUCACCAAGGCGACGAUCCGUAACUGGUCUGAGAGGAUGAUCAGUCACACUGGAACUGAGACACGGUCCAGACUCCUACGGGAGGCAGCAGUGGGGAAUAUUGGACAAUGGGCGAAAGCCUGAUCCAGCCAUGCCGCGUGUGUGAAGAAGGUCUUCUGAUUGUAAAGCACUUUAAGUUGGGAGGAAGGGCAGUAAAUUAAUACUUUGCUGUUUUGACGUUACCGACAGAAUAA